rnacentral:misc_RNA from 1 species
AACCUUAUGGACCUGCGGGCGUAUACCUGCGGAGGGAUCAUUACCGAGUGCGGGUCCGCGUGGCCCAACCUCCCACCCGUGCCUAUUGUACCCUGUUGCUUCGGCGGGCCCGCCAGCCUUCGGGCUGGCCGCCGGGGGGCGUCUCGCCCCCGGGCCCGUGCCCGCCGGAGACCCCAACAUGAACCCUGUUCUGAAAGCUUGGUGUCUGAGUGUGAUUGUUUGCAAUCAGUUAAAACUUUC